AAUACCAGCCUUUGCCUUGGGGUGGGAUUAGUGGCGAACGGGUGAGUAACACGUGAGUAACCUGCCCUUAACUCUGGGAUAAGCCUGGGAAACUGGGUCUAAUACCGGAUAGGAGCGUCCACCGCAUGGUGGGUGUUGGAAAGAUUUAUCGGUUUUGGAUGGACUCGCGGCCUAUCAGCUUGUUGGUGAGGUAAUGGCUCACCAAGGCGACGACGGGUAGCCGGCCUGAGAGGGUGACCGGCCACACUGGGACUGAGACACGGCCCAGACUCCUACGGGAGGCAGCAGUGGGGAAUAUUGCACAAUGGGCGCAAGCCUGAUGCAGCGACGCCGCGUGAGGGAUGACGGCCUUCGGGUUGUAAACCUCUUUCAGUAGGGAAGAAGCGAAAGUGACGGUACCUGCAGAAGAAGCACCGGCUAACUACGUGCCAGCAGCCGCGGUAAUACGUAGGGUGCGAGCGUUAUCCGGAAUUAUUGGGCGUAAAGAGCUCGUAGGCGGUUUGUCGCGUCUGUCGUGAAAGUCCGGGGCUUAACCCCGGAUCUGCGGUGGGUACGGGCAGACUAGAGUGCAGUAGGGGAGACUGGAAUUCCUGGUGUAGCGGUGGAAUGCGCAGAUAUCAGGAGGAACACCGAUGGCGAAGGCAGGUCUCUGGGCUGUAACUGACGCUGAGGAGCGAAAAGCAUGGGGGAGCGAACAGGGAUUAGAUACCCUGGGUAGUCCAUGCCGUAAACGUUGGGGCACUAGGUGUUGGGGGACCAUUCCAACGGG
rnacentral:rRNA from 1 species